ACGGAGGGUGCAAGCGUUGUCCGGAUUUAUUGGGUUUAAAGGGUACGUAGGUGGGCUAUUAAGUCAGUGGUGAAAGCCUGCAGCUUAACUGUAGAAUUGCCAUUGAUACUGAUAGUCUUGAGUAUGGUCGAGGUAGGCAGAAUUUAUGGUGUAGCGGUGAAAUGCAUAGAUACCAUAAGGAAUACCGAUAGCGAAGGCAGCUUACUGGGCCGUUACUGACACUAAUGUACGAAAGCGUGGGGAGCGAACAGG
rnacentral:rRNA from 1 species